GACGAACGCUGGCGGCGUGCCUAAUACAUGCAAGUAGAACGCACAGGAUGCACCGUAGUUUACUACACCGUAUUCUGUGAGUUGCGAACGGGUGAGUAACGCGUAGGUAACCUGCCUGGUAGCGGGGGAUAACUAUUGGAAACGAUAGCUAAUACCGCAUAAGAACAUUUACUGCAUGGUAGAUGUUUAAAAGGUGCAAAUGCAUCACUACCAGAUGGACCUGCGUUGUAUUAGCUAGUAGGUGAGGUAACGGCUCACCUAGGCGACGAUACAUAGCCGACCUGAGAGGGUGAUCGGCCACACUGGGACUGAGACACGGCCCAGACUCCUACGGGAGGCAGCAGUAGGGAAUCUUCGGCAAUGGGGGGAACCCUGACCGAGCAACGCCGCGUGAGUGAAGAAGGUUUUCGGAUCGUAAAGCUCUGUUGUUAAGGAAGAGCGAGUGUGAGAAUGGAAAGUUCAUACUGUGACG
rnacentral:rRNA from 1 species